rnacentral:rRNA from 1 species
UACGUAGGUGACCAGCGUUGUCCGGAUUUACUGGGCGUAAAGAGCGCGCAGGCGGUCGUUCAAGUCGUGCGUGAAAGCCCCCGGCUCAACUGGGGAGGGUCAUUCGAUACUGAUCGACUCGAAGGCAGGAGAGGGUAGUGGAAUUCCCGGUGUAGUGGUGAAAUGCGUAGAUAUCGGGAGGAGCACCAGUGGCGAAGGCGACUACCUGGCCUGUUCUUGACGCUGAGGCGCGAAAGCUAGGGGAGCAAACGGG